rnacentral:piRNA from 1 species
GACUUUAUCAGACUGCGUGAAGUGAG